UACAGAGGUCUCGAGCGUUGUUCGGAUUCAUUGGGCGUAAAGGGUGCGUAGGUGGCAGAGUAAGUCUGGUGUGAAAUCCCGGGGCUCAACCCCGGAACUGCACUGGAUACUGCUUUGCUAGAGUACUGGAGAGGAGAUUGGAAUUUACGGUGUAGCAGUGAAAUGCGUAGAUAUCGUAAGGAAGACCAGUUGCGAAGGCGAAUCUCUGGACAGUUACUGACACUGAGGCACGAAGGCCAGGGGAGCAAACGGG
rnacentral:rRNA from 1 species